rnacentral:rRNA from 1 species
UACGUAGGGUGCAAGCGUUAAUCGGAAUUACUGGGCGUAAAGCGUGCGCAGGCGGUUUUGUAAGUUUGUACGUGAAAGCCCCGGGCUCAACCUGGGAAUUGCGAUGAAGACUGCAAGGCUUGAAUCUGGCAGAGGGGGGUAGAAUUCCACGUGUAGCAGUGAAAUGCGUAGAGAUGUGGAGGAACACCGGAUGGCGAAGGCAGCCCCCUGGGUCAAGAUUGACGCUCAUGCACGAAAGCGUGGGGAGCAAACAGG